rnacentral:rRNA from 1 species
GAUGAACGCUGGCGGCGUGCCUAAUACAUGCAAGUCGAGCGAACGGGCGAGAAGCUUGCUUUUCUGAUGUUAGCGGCGGACGGGUGAGUAACACGUGGAUAACCUACCUAUAAGACUGGGAUAACUUCGGGAAACCGGAGCUAAUACCGGAUAAUAUUUUGAACCGCAUGGUUCAAAAGUGAAAGACGGUCUUGCUGUCACUUAUAGAUGGAUCCGCGCUGCAUUAGCUAGUUGGUAAGGUAACGGCUUACCAAGGCAACGAUGCAUAGCCGACCUGAGAGGGUGAUCGGCCACACUGGAACUGAGACACGAUCCAGACUCCUACGGGAGGCAGCAGUAGGGAAUCUUCCGCAAUGGGCGAAAGCCUGACGGAGCAACGCCGCGUGAGUGAUGAAGGUCUUCGGAUCGUAAAACUCUGUUAUUAGGGAAGAACAUAUGUGUAAGUAACUGUGCACAUCUUGACGGUACCUAAUCAGAAAGCCACGGCUAACUACGUG